rnacentral:snRNA from 1 species
GGAUGUGAGGGCGAUCUGGCUGCGACAUCUGUCACCCCAUUGAUCGCCAGGGUUGAUUUGGCUGAUCUGGCUGGCUAGGCGGGUGUCCCCUUCCUCCCUCACCGCUCCAAGUGCGUCCCUCCCGAAGCUGCGCACUCGGUCAAAGAGGACGACCUUCCCCGAUAGAGGAGGACCGUUCUUCGGUCAAGGGUAUACAAGUAGCUGCGCUCCCUUGCUAGAACCUCCAAACAAGCUCUCAAGAAAUGGGCCAGAACUAUACACAGCUGUGCAGCCUCUGAGGCUGGCUC